rnacentral:rRNA from 1 species
GACAGAGGGUGCAACCGUUGUUCGGAAUUACUGGGCGUAAAGCGCGUGUAGGCGGCUCGGCAAGUCGGGUGUGAAAGCCCUGGGCUCAACCCAGGAAGUGCAUUCGAAACUUCCGAGCUGGAGUCCUGGAGAGGAAGGCGGAAUUCUCGGUGUAGAGGUGAAAUUCGUAGAUAUCGAGAGGAACACCGGUGGCGAAGGCGGCCUUCUGGACAGUGACUGACGCUGAGACGCGAAAGCGUGGGGAGCAAACAGG